rnacentral:rRNA from 1 species
GACAGAGGAGGCGAGCGUUAUCCGGAAUUAUUGGGCGUAAAGGGUACGUAGGCGGCUGGUCAAGUCUGGGGUCAAAGGCCACAGCUCAACUGUGGGAAGGCCCUGGAAACUGACCGGCUAGAGUGAGGUAGGGGUUGCGGGAAUUCCCGGUGUAGCGGUGAAAUGCGUAGAGAUCGGGAAGAACACAUGAGGCGAAAGCGCGCAACUGGGCCCUAACUGACGCUGAGGUACGAAAGCUAGGGGAGCGAAUGGG